GUAACAGGAAGAGCUUGCUUCUUUGCUGACGAGUGGCGGACGGGUGAGUAAUGUCUGGGAAACUGCCUGAUGGAGGGGGAUAACUACUGGAGACGGUAGCUAAUACCGCAUAACGUCGCAAGACCAAAGAGGGGGACCUUCGGGCCUCUUGCCGUCGGAUGUGCCCAGAUGGGAUUAGCUAGUAGGUGGGGUAACGGCUCACCUAGGCGACGAUCCCUAGCUGGUCUGAGAGGAUGACCAGCCACACUGGAACUGAGACACGGUCCAGACUCCUACGGGAGGCAGCAGUGGGGAAUAUUGCACAAUGGGCGCAAGCCUGAUGCAGCCAUGCCGCGUGUAUGAAGAAGGCCUUCGGGUUGUAAAGUACUUUCAGCGGGGAGGAAGGGAGUAAAGUUAAUACCUUUGCUCAUUGACGUUACCCGCAGAAGAAGCACCGGCUAACUCCGUGCCAGCAGCCGCGGUAAUACGGAGGGUGCAAGCGUUAAUCGGAAUUACUGGGCGUAAAGCGCACGCAGGCGGUUUGUUAAGUCAGAUGUGAAAUCCCCGGGCUCAACCUGGGAACUGCAUCUGAUACUGGCAAGCUUGAGUCUCGUAGAGGGGGGUAGAAUUCCAGGUGUAGCGGUGAAAUGCGUAGAGAUCUGGAGGGAUACCGGUGGCGAAGGCGACCCCCUGGACGAAGACUGACGCUCAGGUGCGAAAGCGUGGGGAGCAAAC
rnacentral:rRNA from 1 species